AAUCUGAAAGUGAUAAACUAUUCGGCUCUUCGACACCUCACCUCUCUUCAAGGCCUGUACAUCAAUAGUUGCCCUCGACUCCAGUCCCUACCGGAAGAGGGACUGUCCGCCUCCCUCACCGAACUAUAUAUCUGGCGCUGCCCACUGCUGAAGCCAAGGUUAGAAUGGGAGAAAGGACAAGACUGGCCCAAGGUUGCCCACAUCCCCUGCCUGGUAGUCGAUGGUGACCUAGUUCCUUGAUGAUGACGCCGGUUACUCCUGAGGGCUCCCAGAGUUACAAGAUCCUCAUCAUCAUCUAUUCAUAUAAUUAAAGUGCGAAUUGCCUGUUGUGAAUAACUAGGAUGUGCUGAAAGGACAGUUGAGAUUCCAAUCAAGUAAGGCCGCCAACUCAAGCAGACAAAUGCUUUCCUCGUUAAAGAAAACCUUCAAUGUUCUAUAAGUCCAGGUGAUACACCUUUCUUAGUAUUCUAAGGACCAUCAUUGCUCUCAUCUUCAGCCAUUGAAGAAUUGGGGCUGGUGACCUCCCUUUUUAUGCUAGAAAUCAAGAACUACUAAUUCCUGACAAUACGUUUGGAGUAGAGAAAAGAAGAAGAUUGGCACAAGGUUGUCUUAUUACUGGAUGAAAAGUGAUGCUUCAAUAUCUUGACUCUUGGAGAACUUGGUUAGUUGAUCUUGGGUCCUAUAGAUGUCAACAGUUGUUUCAUAUCCAGAGUUGGCUGGCUUCUUUUGAGCUUAAGCUGAGAGGAUACCUGGUAAGAGCCAUAUUAUCACCGUCAUAUGUUUUCAGUCAUUGAUACCUUACUACUUAGCAGCAUGUUUUAUGUCAUUUGAAUUUCCUAUGUAUUCCAUAUCAUAUGAAGUUCAGUAAAAUCUUCAAGUCGCAUUAGUUAUGUUCAGUUAUCUGCUUCUUUGUAGCUCUUUUCACCGAGCUUUCUUCAAAAUAUUCAUUUAAUUUUAUAUAUCAUAAGACAUGUUAAACAAGACCAAAAAGUUGAAACGGGAAGAAAUUGUGGAAAUGAAUGGAGGAAAUGAUAAAUUGAAGGGAUAUGGCACAGCCUGAUACCUCCUUUGUCUCAAACACAAAUUGUCAUGGGUUUCAGUAAUGUCAUCCUUUGCUUAUUCGUCUUGGAAGGCAUAUUUCCUUUUUUGAGUACUUUGUUUAUACAAGAUGUAUUGGGGGUGCCAAAAAUAAUCCUUUUCUUUAUGGUUUUAUCUCUGUCAUAAAGAUUGUUCUUAGAUUAAAAUGUUGCAUACCACUAAGGUUAUCAAUUCCUGUAUAUCCUUCACUCUUUUUGUGAAUGAAUAUGCUAUGCAGAAUAUCUAUCCGGACAUUUUUCCAAGUUAAUAUUUCCAUUACCUUGUACUCCUAUUUUAAACUAUUGCAGUGCUUCCUUUUGCAUCUUCCACUUCUAGUAAGAUGUUGGUUUCCUUCAAAUAUUUUUGGCUUCCUCAGUUUUUCAUUAUCCCUCGCAUUAAGGUAAUGUUUCUUGCUAUAGACUUGACAUGGCCCUUUCUGAAUAUAGUCCAGACUUGUGUGCUUUUUGUUGGUUGCAAUGGUAUUUUACCCCUUUUGACUUGGUAGCAUUAGGCAUGUAAAAGGCACCAUUGCUAGAUAUUUAUUUGUGUCUAAUCGUAAAUAGAUGAAGAGUUCAUAAAAUUAAUACGGAGAGAGAGUAGAAAGGGGUGCAAAAACAAAAUGAGCCCAAAAUCAGUGAUGGAUAUUUGUGUUGAUGACAGUUAUGACUAUAUUUCAUUCUUAUCUACACCUUGCAUUCGUGUGAUUGCUGUGUAAAUUUUCAACUUUCCAAGAUCCUUCUACACAAAGAGGGUAUAAACAUCAUAUGAGUAACUUUUUUGAAACUAACCAUCAACAAUUCUUAUACUAAUAAUUGAUUGAGAGUUCCAAAACAUAGAACUUCAGGUCACUUGUUUUAAUAAUAAACAGAAAGGAAGCAUACAUACUGAAGAAUCAAAUUUUCUGAAAAGGAAAAGACAACUAAUUUGAAGUGGUUUCUGCUAUCUCUUCCCCUUGUAUGCUUUUCCAUAUGGAGUACCAUUGACAGCAUUCUAUCUCUGGUAUAAAUUGUUUAGUUCUGUAUUUGCUGCACAAUCCAUCUGUAAUACUCUGCUCCACUGCUACUAAUAUUUUCAUAUUUACCCUAUGCACCGAGAUAUUCUAGGUAUGUUGCACUUUGUGUUCAUUGUAAAUAUUUUCAUAUAUUCUUGUAGACCUUUGAUAAAUUGGAAUGCAUUCCUGUAAUUCAAGCACUAUUCUUGAAACAACUGGUACUUAAAAGAGGUCAUUCCAUGAACAGAAAGUGCGGAAUCACCUGCAGUUGCCUUUCCUGCUCCUCCUCUUUCCACUUACCCCAUAGGAAAUGGAAAAAAAUUUGAAAGGUAAAUCAUUGCUGUGUUUGAUAAUUCUUUGCAGAAUUGGGGCUAUGAUUAUUUAGCGCCUCUUUUCAGAAGUACGUAUUGCAAGGAGUUCAAUUUGCUGCUUGGAAAGAUGCAAUCCUUCCUCGCGCAUUAAUGUUCAAAAAUGUGGGAGCAUCCUGUGGCUGAGAGCAUUUUAGCUCGAUGUUGCCUCUAGACUGCAACCAUACCCUUUUGAUGGUGGAUAUCCAGAGUUUCCCCUCUCGCUGAGAAUCCAAGAUUAGUGGCACCGAUGAAGAAGAGUCGCUUCCAUGAUACUGGCUGCUGUCUUGCACGUUGCACCCUUACAAUCUCUCACUUGGAGCAGCAUAAGAGCUGAAGAACAAUGACCUACAAGCGUCUUCAACACUUAACCAUUUUGAAGAUAUGGAAAUAGCUGUUCCAUUUUGAAGAUAUGGAAAUAGCUGACUGCUUUCAGCUCUAGUGGCUGCAAAAAGAGUGGUUGGCAACUUCCCGGCUUCCCUUAUGCAUGAAAAAUGUGGUAUUCAUUGCUCAAAUUACUAUACAAGGGCAGAAUGGGAGGGGAAAGAUUGGCCUCAGGGUUUCUGAUGUAAACUGCAUAGCUUUCAAUAGUGAACUAAAUAGAAUAUUGCUUAGAACUUGAUUGAGCUUGACCUCAGGGGCCUCUAUCAGAUUCAUUUUCUUCGAAUGCUCCAAUGCCUCAAAUCACAGGAGAAUCAUUUCCUGUGCAUACCAUCCCACCUUUCUGCUGAAAAUCUCCUCAACUUUUUCUUUAGUUCUUGUUUCUCUUUCGGGAUUUUUCUCUGUUCAUGGCCAACCUUGCAGAACAUCUAAUUGUCUACUCCAACGAUGUUAUUGAAAAAGUGCAAGCCACAUCUUAGUUCUUGCCUUGCAUUUGCAAAUUCAGGAGUUUUUCAACUUUUGAGAUUAAUUUCUUCUUCCUUUUUGGUGCA